GGGCGUAUAGCUCAGUUGGUUAGAGCGUUUCGUUGACAUCGAAAAGGCCUCCCGUUCGAGUCGGGAUACGCCCA
rnacentral:tRNA from 3 species